GCCGGUGUGGCGGAACGGUAGACGCACCACUCCAGUGGUCCCUCGCAAGAGGGUGCGGGUUCAACUCCCAGCCACCGGCA
rnacentral:tRNA from 1 species